UACGUAGGGUGCGAGCGUUGUCCGGAAUUAUUGGGCGUAAAGGGCUCGUAGGCGGUCUGUCACGUCGGGAGUGAAAACUCAGGGCUUAACCCUGAGCCUGCUUCCGAUACGGGCAGACUAGAGGUAUGCAGGGGAGAACGGAAUUCCUGGUGUAGCGGUGAAAUGCGCAGAUAUCAGGAGGAACACCGGUGGCGAAGGCGGCCCGCUGGCCAGCGACUGACGCUGAGACGCGAAAGCGUGGGGAGCAAACAGG
rnacentral:rRNA from 1 species